AACGCCACCGCCGGCUGCUAACGCUCAGCUAGUGGCAAUCAACCUUUCACGGUGAUUUUACACAGUCAUCCUACAGAACGACCUUCACGGAGGCCUCCACCGGCUCCGUGAAGCAGGGACGCGGCCGCCGGCGGGAGAGAGCCGGCGGAAGGAGACACUCCCCGCCCGCAACGCCCCCGCCGCGAGGCGUGGCCCGGCGCUCCCCGCGGUGCCCGAAAAGAAAAAGCCCCACAUUUUACAUAGUUGGUACAAAAACAAAAAUAAAAUGAACAGAGCGGGGAAAACCUGCAGCAACAGGAACUGAGGAUCUCGCUGCAGGGACUCCAGCAGGAAAUGUCUUUGGGAAGUGUGAGCAACUCGCUCAGGGGUUGCCCUGAGCCCCCCCCCACACACACAGCCACCCCACUUACCCCCUCCCUCCCACCCACUCCAUAAAACUUCGCGGGUUUGACACGAACGCUUUGGUUGCUAGCAGUAAACAUGGAUUACAUUCUUCCGUCUCCUCGUAGAC